GACGAACGCUGGCGGCGUGCUUAACACAUGCAAGUCGAACGGAAAGGCCCUGCUUUUGUGGGGUGCUCGAGUGGCGAACGGGUGAGUAACACGUGAGUAACCUGCCCUUGACUUUGGGAUAACUUCAGGAAACUGGGGCUAAUACCGGAUAGGAGCUCCUGCUGCAUGGUGGGGGUUGGAAAGUUUCGGCGGUUGGGGAUGGACUCGCGGCUUAUCAGCUUGUUGGUGGGGUAGUGGCUUACCAAGGCUUUGACGGGUAGCCGGCCUGAGAGGGUGACCGGCCACAUUGGGACUGAGAUACGGCCCAGACUCCUACGGGAGGCAGCAGGGGGGAAUAUGGCACAAUGGGCGGAAGCCUGAUGCAGAAACGCCGCGUGCGGGAUGACGGCCUUCGGGUGGUAAACCGCUGUCGCCGGUGACGAAGCGUGAGUGACGGUAAUGGGUAAAGAAGCAACGGCUAACUACGUG
rnacentral:rRNA from 1 species